UUACUUUGCAACCCGAAAAGUAACUCAACUUUGAGAAAUGGCAAGUUCAGUCCUCAGAGUCCGGCGGCAGCUUGUAGUUGGUCUUCUCCGGUCAUUUUCCCGUCAACAGUACUCUUCAAUCAACUAUGCUUUAUACAAUAAAGAAGAAGAUGAUGAAAGAAACCCUAACCCUAAAUCCAGCUGUAUACAUCCUUCAUCGGUUGUUCAUCCUGACGCUAUUAUAGGUCAGGGUGUUUCAAUUGGUCCCUUUUGCACAGUGGGUUCUUCAGCGAUAGUGGGAAAUGAUUGCAAGCUACAUCCUGGAAGUCAUGUUGCUGGAAACACGAAAUUGGGAGAUAAUUGCAUCUUGAUGAGUGGGGCAGUUGUUGGAGAUAACAUGCCUGGGCGAACAGUCAUCGGUUGCAACAAUGUUAUUGGUCAUCAUGCCGUGGUUGGCAUCAAAUGUCAAGAUAUGAAGUAUAAGGCAGGUAAUGAAUGCUUUCUUCAAGUUGGUGAUAACAAUGAGAUUAGAGAACAUGUUUCUAUCCAUCGAUCUUCAAAGCCUUGUGACAGAACUGUUAUUGGCGAUAAUAAUCUUAUCAUGGGAUCUUGUCAUAUAGCCCACGAUUGUAAAGUGGGUAGUAACAACAUUUUUGCGAAUAACACCCUCCUAGCAGGCCAUGUGCUCGUUGAGGACCAUGCACACACAGCUGGAGCCAUUGUUGUUCAUCAGUUCUGCCAUUUAGGUUCUUUUUGUUUCAUUGGUGGUGGUUCAGUUGUCUCACAAGAUGUCCCCAAGUACAGUAUGGUUGCUGGAGACCGAGCAGAGUUACGAGGUUUGAAUUUAGAAGGUCUUCGACGAGGUGGCUUCUCAGUUGAUGAGAUUAGGAGCCUGAGAGUAGCUUACAGGAAGAUAUUUAUGCCUACUAAUGCAAACCUUGGAGCUAUUGAGGACCGUCUUGCUGAAGUGGAAUCUCAUGAAGAGUUGUCCCUUGUUCCAGCUGUGCUUUCCUUCGUGCAGUCCAUACGUGAAUCUCUUGGAGAAGAUCGUCGUGGAAUAUGCAAAUUCAGAUCUUGGAGUUUUUCCUGAGUGGCUGAGUGUAUAUGUAUCUUUAUAUGUUAUCUUCUUGUGUUUUCGCAGAUUUCUUCUACACAUAUAUGUCAUAAGCUUGGGAUCUUCAUACUUCAUAUGAGUUUUGACUGCUUGAAGUUCUAGAUUUUGCCUGGAUAUAUUAUAAUUUUGAGAUUUCAAUCGUUCAUAUGAAGUUGCUCAGUUGUUGAUGACUUUUUGAAAACUAUCUGUGGACGUAGGUGUAGACAGAAAAGAUGUACAUGAUUUGUGUCUUAUGAAAUGUGUUUGGAUCUAGACGCAUGACAAUAGAGGUUAUCUAUCCUGCUUUUCGAGGUUGUAUGUGAUGCACAUGACAAAUAGAGGUUAUCUAUCUUGCUUUUCGAGGUUGUAUGUGAUGCAUGCAUGGUAGUACCCGUAUACGAAGAAUUUGCUCUUCCAGAAGGAACCACAGUUUUGCUUUAAAAAAGCUCAAGUUGGUAACAUGCGGCUUUAUUUUAUGCUGUGUUCAUAUGAAGCCAACCUUAUAAUAUAUGAUUUGUGCAGAGUGGAGACUAUCUUGUUUAGCCAAUAUGAUUUAGAGCAGAAUUAUAAUAUAUUUUCAUGAACUCUUAAACAAUGUUUUGUUGAUAAUAUAUAUUCAAGAUA